CAUCCAAGUUUCUACGAUGGUCGACCACCUUUCGGAUUCCAUCCAAGCUCCUACGAGAAUCGGAUUUCAGUCGAACUCCUACAGUGGAUGGAUCCCAGAUGAGCUUCUACAACAGGACAGGCUCCACCAGCCAGGUCACUACUCUGAGCUUCUAUAAUAAAUAAUCUUCAUCCGAGCUUUCACGACAACCGAUCUUCGAUCGAGCUUCUACAAUUAGCGCUCUCCUUUCAGCCUCCUACA
rnacentral:lncRNA from 1 species